GGAGUUAGGAAAUGUAAGUGCGCUAAUAUCGCAUUUAUUUGACGAAGGCUCCAAAGGAAGCCACGGCUAACUCUGUGCCAGCAGCCGCGGUAGUACAGAGGUGGCAAGCGUUGUUCGGAAUUAUUGGGCGUAAAGAGCACGUAGGUGGGUUUGUAAGUCAGAUGUGAAAGCCUUCUGUUCAACGGAAGAAUUGCAUCUGAAACUACAAGUCUUGAGUGUAGGAGGGGAGAGUGGAAC
rnacentral:rRNA from 1 species